rnacentral:tRNA from 1 species
UCCCGUUUAGCUCAGUUGGUAGAGCGCGUCACUAGUAUAACGCCAUGACGAGGUCAGUCGUUCGAGUCGGCUAAUGGGAA